CAACCCCGGGCCACGCCCGGAUCCGGCGCCUCAUCCCCAUCUCCCCUUGUUCCCGCAGGGCUCCGGGCGGCCGUGACCCUGCUGGAGUGCGGGGGGGACCUCCAGCCCCCCGGGGGGUCCCUGACUCUGCUCUGCCGCGGGUCCGGAUUCAAUUUCGGAGAAUUUGGGAUGGGCUGGUACCGCCAAAGACCCGGGAAGGCGCUGGAAUUUCUUGCCAGUUUCCACAAGGAUGGCAGAACCUGGUACGCGCCGUCAGUCAAGGGCCGGUUCUCGAUCUCCAGGGACAACGGGCAGAGCUCGGUGACGCUGACCAUGAACAGCCUCAAGGACGAGGAUUCCGGGUCACGGCCGCCCGGAGCCCUGCGGGAACAAGGGGAGAUGGGGAUGAGGCGCCGGAUCCGGGCGUGGCCCAGGCUCCAGGUGGUCAUGACCCUGCUGGAGUCUGGGGGGGACCUCCAGCCCUCCGGGGGGUGUCCCUGA